ACAACUGAGAAGUUCAUUGAACCCUCUCAUCUAGAGGAAGGAGAAGUCGUAACAAGGUCUCCGUAGGUGAACCUGCGGAGGGAUCCAUAGCAAUCAUAUAGAUUGGCGAUCAUUCUUGGGAAUGGUAAGGGGGGGUUACCCCUUUUUAACGCCAUCUCAACCUUGGCCAGGGCUAAGUAUCAUUGAUACUUUGACCCGGGCCUUCUUGCCUAUGUGCCCCUGCAAAAUGUGGACUCUACAACCAUAGAAAGCCACGCAGGUGGUACGGGUCGGCAGAUGGCUGUAAGGCCUUGCCGGCCGGGCUCCGCGCUAUCCCUAGUUGGAUAGCACGUAGGGGUACAACCCUGCGAGGAGUCCGUGUCUAUCCUAUAUCCUAUUAAACUUUGUCUUGGUGGGCAAGUACCCCAAGUUUAAAUUUAAAUAACACUGUACAAUGGAUUUCUUGGCUCCCACGUCGAUGAAGAACGCAGCAAAGCGCGAUAGGUAGUGUGAAUUGCAGAAUUCCGUGAAUCAUCGAAUUUUUGAACGCAUAUUGCGCCCACUCUCUCGGGAUUGGGCAUGUCUGCCUCAGCGUCGUUAUCAAUGGUAAUUACUGGGAGUGACUCUUGUUUUGCGGCAUGAGUUUAAACUUUGAAUUUUUCGUGCCACGCACGACAGAUUUACAGUAUUCUACCUUUACUGUUCAUCGUAGGCAAGCUGUUUAAGCACAUGCUUCAUGGACGAUACCAAGGGUUAAUAGAGUAGCUGUAACCAUUUCGACCUGAGUUCAGGCAGGGCUACCCGCUGAACUUAAGCAUAU
rnacentral:misc_RNA from 1 species